AUAGAAUUAUUAUUUUUUUUUAUUUAAGUAAAUUAAAAAAAGACUUUUUUUUUUUAAGUUUUUCGACUCAUAAAUUAACUGGACUGAAAAGGAAAAAGGAAUUCAAUAGAAGAACAUAAGGUACUUUUUGCAUCACGGUUUAUAGAAUAAAAAAAUUAUAAUAAAAAUCCCGAAUUUAAAAGAUUUAUCUACUUAUUAAAUUUAAUGUUUUAUAAUUAUUUUAGAUAAGUGGAUGGAAAUGAAAAGUUAAUCGUUUUUAAAGAUAUCUGGUUAUUCAGGAAGCUAAUUUAAUUAGAUUUUAGAAAGGGUAAGAUAUAUGGACAUCUUUUCCUUUUUCUAAAUGCAAAAAGAAAAAAGAUAAGUUUUUUCUUACUCUAUAUGAAUUAAUAAUAAAUUUAUAAAAUAAAUUUUACUAAAAAUUUUUUUUUUCCAUUAGUAGAAAUACUGAAUUAGAAAGAUUAAUUUAAUUUUUUUCAUAAAAAUUAAUAGAAUGAGUAUUUUUUAAAUUUUUCUUUAAGGAACUUGGCAAAAAAAAAGCCUGCCUGUUUAACAAAAACAUGUCUUUUUGGACUGAAUAAAAAGUCUAAUCUGCUCACUGAAAUUUAAAGAGCCGCAGGAUUCUUACUGUGCAAAGGUAGCAUAAUAAAUUGUAUCUUAAUUGGGUAAUUGAAUGAAUGAUUUGACAAGGUUUUACCUGUCUCAGGAAAAAUUAAAGAAAUUUAAUUUUAAGUUAAAAUGCUUAAAUUAAUAUGAAAGACGAGAAGACCCUAUAGAUCUUUAAAGUCAAGUUUUUCUAGAAUUUUGACUUUUUAGUUGGGGAAACGGAAACUAUGUGAAAUAGUUUUAAAUAAUAAAUUUAAUUAUAAAAUUUAUGAGAUAAAGAAAAUCAUUAGAAUAAGUUACCUUAGGGAUAACAGCGUAACAAAAUUUUUAAGUUCAUAUUGAAAAUUUAUCUUGCGACCUCGAUGUUGAAUUAAGGAAAAACAUAGAAGAAGAAAUCUGUGUAUUUAGUCUGUUCGACUAUUUAAACCUUACAUGAUUUGAGUUCAGACCGACGUGAGUCAGGUCAGUUUCUAUCUUCAUAAUUUGUUUUUUUCUCAGUACGAAAGGACAAGAAAAGAGCUAGAUUAGU
rnacentral:rRNA from 1 species